CGGUGUUCAACUGGCGUGUCCGCGGGACGUCCUGCCGGUGGGCCUAGCCCGCAAGGGCGGCCCAACUUCAAAUCCCAUCGCGGUGCUCUUCACUGAGUGUCGAGGUGGGCCGGCACGUUUACUUUGAACAAAUUAGAGUGCUUAAAGCAGGCUAAAACUUCGCCUGAAUACUGUGUGCAUGGAAUAAUGGAAUAGGACCUCGGUUCUAUUUUGUUGGUUUUCGGAACCCCGAGGUAAUGAUUAAUAGGAACGGAUGGGGGCAUUCGUAUUGCGACGUUAGAGGUGAAAUUCUUGGAUCGUCGCAAGACGGACAGAAGCGAAAGCAUUUGCCAAAAACGCUUUCAUUGAUCAAGAACGAAAGUUAGAGGUUCGAAGGCGAUCAGAUACCGCCCUAGUUCUAACCAUAAACGAUGCCGGCUAGCGAUCCGUCGACGUUCCUCCGAUGACUCGACGGGCAGCUUCCGGGAAACCAAAGCUUUUGGGUUCCGGGGGAAGUAUGGUUGCAAAGCUGAAACUUAAAGGAAUUGACGGAAGGGCACCACCAGGAGUGGAGCCUGCGGCUUAAUUUGACUCAACACGGGAAACCUCACCAGGCCCGGACACCGGAAGGAUUGACAGAUUGAGAGCUCUUUCUUGAUUCGGUGGGUGGUGGUGCAUGGGCCGUUCUUAGUUGGUGGAGCGAUUUGUCUGGUUAAUUCCGAUAACGAACGAGACUCUAGCCUGCUAACUAGGCGUAUUUUCGACAUCUCAAAGGUCCGUCGUCCCGGCCCUCGGGUCGUGGGCGUGCGCGAUUUUUACUGUCGGCGUACUAUCAAUUCUUCUUAGAGGGACAGGUGGCUUCUAGCCGCACGAGAUUGAGCAAUAACAGGUCUGUGAUG
rnacentral:rRNA from 1 species